UACGUAGGCAGCAAGCGUUGUUCGGAAUUACUGGGCGUAAAGAGUGUGUAGGCGGUGCUCUAAGUUCGGUGUGAAAUCUCCCGGCUCAACUGGGAGGGUGCGCCGGAAACUGGGGUGCUGGAGCGCGGGAGAGGGAAAGCGGAAUUCCUGGUGUAGCGGUGAAAUGCGUAGAUAUCAGGAGGAACACCGGCGGUGUAGACGGCUUUCUGGACCGUAGCUGACGCUGAGACACGAAAGCGUGGGUAGCAAACAGG
rnacentral:rRNA from 1 species